CAUGGGGUGCAAACGUUGCUCGGAAUUAUUGGGCGUAAAGCGCGCGUAGGCGGUUAUCUAAGUUGGAUGUGAAAGCCCUCGGCUUAACUGAGGAAAUGCACCCAAAACUGGAUAGCUGGAGUACGAAAGAGGGUCGCGGAAUUCCCGGUGUAGAGGUGAAAUUCGUAGAUAUCGGGAGGAACACCGGUGGCGAAGGCGGCGACCUGGGUCGAGACUGACGCUGAGGCGCGAAAGCGUGGGGAGCAAACAGGAUUAGAUACCCUGGUAGUCCACGCCGUAAACGAUGGGUGCUAGAUGUUUCUGGUAUUGACCCCGGAGGCGUCGUAGCUAACGCGUUAAGCACCCCGCCUGGGGAGUACGGCCGCAAGGCUA
rnacentral:rRNA from 1 species